AACAGUGCCUAUGAAUUGGGCAAGGGAUGUGUCUAAUGCACUCUCAUCUCUGUUUUGAAACAAAAGAGAUUUGAGACAAAGUCUUUGACUCGGGUGAAGAUCUAUCUCUCCAAACUGCCUGCUGUUCCAGGUUACCUCAAAUGGUGUACCUGUAUUUCAUAAAUUCCAAGGUAUGAAAUUCUAAAAAGGCUGUGAAUGCAGUAUGUGGGUGAAACUGAAUCUCAAGACAUGUCUCCAUGUUACAGUGCAGCAUCCUCCUAAAAUAAAUGGUGCCCCUUGCAGUGGUUUACUUCCACAAGCAUGGUGAAUUUUGGAGGAUUAGAGACAAAUAGAGAAGUGGUGCUGAUGUGGAUUCCUGAGGCUCUGAGACAGGACAACCAGUUGCACAGGAGUCUGGCAUUCAUUUUAUCUGCUAGAUUUACAGACAACAUUGAAAAAUGUUUUAUAAAAUGGGUUUUGUUAUGGCCUGAAGAUGCAGCUUAUCACAGGUGUACGCUGCACCCAGGCUGUGCUGCAACUAAGGAACCGGGGAUACGGCCUCUGGUCAGUGAGCAGUGGAUAGAGCUCCUUCUCCAGAGGAAGGCUGAGGGUGCUGCUCUGGCUCAGCAAACACACUGCAGUUUAGGACAGCCCAGGACUGCGGCCAGGCAGCAGAGCCCUCCAGGUUCCCAUAGCCCCAGAGCCCCAUGCUAACCACUGGACCAUCGAAGGACUACUGCACUGAAGGCCUAGCUAGUUGUAAAUCUACCACUUUCAUCUUCCAACUUCCGAUGAUUUGCUGCAUGCUAAUUAAAUUUGAGGAUUUUGAUCAGCAGCAGCAGCCAGCAGUUCAGGAAUGGAUAGGAAUUCAGUGGUACCUGUUUCAGAAUGUUUAUUCAUUUUUGUGUUUGACUUAAACAUUUUUGUGUUUGAUCACUUCACUUUGAAAGGAGCUCUGAAAAUACAUGCAAUGAAUAAAUACCAGUAUUAAGUUCCAUACUUGUUUGUUAUGAAAUCCAUUGUUUUAAAUCAGAAUUUCAAUGCUCACACAUGCUACAAAGUAGGAUCAUUGUAAAUUUUAACCCAACAUUCAUUUAUUGCAGGGUACAGCCAUAAAAUUUCCAGAGGUUAUUAGAUGUUUUUACCUGUAGGUUCUUUAUUACUGAUUUAAAAGUUGUUAGUCAGAAGGCUUGCUGACAUCAAGCUUUUGUUGUUUUAUUUUUUACAGUGAGGAAAGCUGGUCAGGAGUCUGAGUCUUCACACAGGGGUAGUAUGCAUAAUAUUAUGUGCAGCCUUUUAAUAAUACAGCAAAAGGAUAUGCAAAUAUACCAAUUUCAUUUAUAGAGUUGAAAUCUGCUUCAAUAAUUCUUGUGAGAUAAGAAGAGAUAAACUAUAUAUACUCAUUUAUAUCAAAAGCCUAUUGACAGCCAGCUUUUAAGAAUAAUUCUGGUGCUUUCUUUGUCCUAAAGUACAAGUUGGAAUUUUUAUUUUCUAAGAGAAAUAGGAUAUUCAAGUGAAAACGGGCUAUUAUAUACUGUAUACUUCCCAUACAAGGCAGUCUGCACUGGUGUCUAGCUAGACAUCUAUCAUGCAUCUUCUUCAAGAGCCUAGAGAAAAUAUUUUCACUACUAGCCAUUAUCCAUGUAGUCCUUCUCCUACAUCUAUCAGCCAGUUUGGAAGUAGCAUUCAAUGCUAUAUACUGAAGAUUAUAACCUGUAUAUUUAAAAUAAGCAAUUCAGCUGAGUUUUCUUCAUGACGUUGAUCCCAAGAAACAACUGAAGUACAAUUUGUACUGAGGUGAGCUGCCCUAAUAUAGUGAGAUGCUCUUCCAAAAAUCUUUCACUCUUUCAAUAUGAUCCCCUCAAAAGUACAUACUUGUAAAGCAGAGAUAAUAUGUAAAUUUUAAGAAACUGCAACAAGGAUAUCUGGCACAAAAUGGCCUAUAAACAACUCUCUGAUACACCAGUUAAAUGACAUCUACUGUUAGCAUUCAAAAGCUUUUAGCAGUAAAAAGAACAGAGUAUUAGUCCUUUUCUGAGUAGCUUGAGGUUGUUCAGGGACACAAAGGGUAUUUUUGUUGUAAGAAAGUGAUUUAGCCUAACUUUGCUGGUCCAGAAAAUGUAUAGAACACUUUUAGCCAAUUUCCUUGAAUUGAUCUGGUUAUUCUCCUGGGUGUAAGUGUACCACUAUUCUCAUGAGUAGAUGUCAACUUUGCAAGCUGGUGUAACAUUUCUUGUAUGAUUAGUCUGUUCAAGGUGGUUUUGGGAUGUAAGCACAGCAGUAAUUCAGAGGGUCCACAUGCCAUUCCUGUGGGGGAUGACUGUGAGUCCAGGGUCUCCACUGGGUUGAAGAUCAAAGGAGAGGCAGUGCUUGAUUAGUUUGUCAGCUCUGAUACAGCCAAGGUGCAUGUGCUCUCUCAGACAGACAAAUCUCUCUAGGCAAUAAGAAGGCUUGAUUUAGUCUUGCAGGGAUUUUUUUUAUUACAAGCAGCGUGUUCUUCAUUAACUCUGAUCUGUUAUUUUUGAAAGCAAAAAAUUUUCCAAUGUUAAAAUCUGCUAGAAACUGCCUGUACAUAUUCAUGAUCGAGGACUAGCAGAGGCCAGACCACCUAUCAUUGCUGAGGUUUUGUUCCACACUAGUUUCUUUAGAUGUCAUAAUGGUACAAUUUGCUUAAAAUAGGUAGCCAGUCAUAGAAUCCCCAAUGUCAUUGGUAUUUAUCAUCCAAUCACACAGCUGGGCAUUCACUGUAUGAUACAAAUGGCUCUGGCUGUGCUUUUUGUCUGGGGAAGGAUCCUGAAAGUGACAUUUGCUAGAUAUUUCUCUGUAAAUGUAAGAGAAAGAGGGGGGCAAAAAAAAAAGUAGAUUUCAACACCUUUGUAGGUACCGUCAUUUUCAUUCUGAAAAAAUGAGUGACUGAUUUAAGCGGAAGUCAUGAAGUUUAGUAGAUUCUGCCUAGGUUUACUGCUGAAGCUGCAUAAAAUAUUUAAAAGUACUGUAAGAGGCCUAGAGUAAAGUAUCUCUAAUGCAGCUGUUCAAGUCUCAGUUUAUGAAGAAUUAACACCCAGCAAAACUGUGAAAAGAAGGGGGAGCAAUUAAUAGCAAAUAGAAACAUAAGAUUUUUUAUUGACCUAGUUCUUACUGAAACCUUUAAUUCCCAUCCCAUUAAACAGUAGAACAACAGGAGCAUAGAGAACAGUGAGUUAUCUGGACUUGAUCUUGUAGUUAAUAUAACAUGAGGAAGAUGUUCAAAUUAGUGCCUCAGCUUUCUGUAUUCAGCUUGAGACAAAAAUGAGCAUCUAAGAUAGUAUUUGCUGAAGAUCCUGACUGACUGAGAGUCACAGUGAAUUAUGUGAUGAACUGGCUUCCUUUCUCAUAGCAAGGAUCUUGACUUUGAAGCCUUUAAAACUCAAGUGUGCUCUGAAUAAUGAGAAAACCCUGACACAUGUAGCUGUAACUCUUAAAAUUACUAUUAUUUUGUGUGCCAUCACUACUAGUUACCACUUCCUUAGAAAAAUACAGAGGGACCAUUGGCCUUGCCAGUGCCUAAAUGUCUUAGAUCAACCUUAACACAAAUGGCAAUUGAUCAAGCUGGCCCCAAACUGAAGCAAUUGAAACAUGUGUCGCUGGUUGACCACCAUGUCAACAAAAUACCAUGAGUGGGCUGCUGGGAAAAAUACUUUCUUAAACUCAUUCAAAGAAAUUAUCAAAUAUGUCAUUACCUGUUUUUAAUACCUAAUAUCUGCUCCAGGGUUACCUAAUCCUAAAUGUUUGAUUAUCACAUUCACAUUUCAUCCUGUACAAAGCAGGAAUCAUUCCCAGACUCCAUCAAACAAAAAAGCUUCUGGGAAAACUCCGUGAUGGAUCAAAACGUGGGUUUUCUUUUCACUCUUCUACUUCCCCACAUUGGCAGUGAUCCUUCAACUGAUUUCAUAGAGGGAUAGUUUCAAAUAAAUAUAUUCUAUAUCUAUAAACAUCUUAUUAUAUGCACAUUUUAAAUGAAUAUUCCCUUCAGGUCUUACUUAAGAAUUGAAAAUGCACCAAUUUGCACUAUAUUUAAACAAUAAUGACUGAUGGAAGGGCUGUUUCUUUUCAGCUAAAUGUGCCAAGACUUAGCUUAUCUGGUAAUUAACUGCUGGGAAAGGCCUCCCUGUCAGUCAUUGCUGCCUAAAUAAGUAUUAGAUUGGGGGGAGGGGAGGAAGGCUUGUCAUUAAUCACCAGGAAAUUUCAGACAGCUGCUGUUUUGCUGUAAUAGAACUUGCAAGUAUUAAGAAAAAUCACCAACAGUUACCUUCCAAGGUAUAAUAAUUAUACGUGGGCCUGCAAGUUGUCUUAGAUAUGGCUCAUUUAUAUAAAGCAUUUAGACAUCAGCCCAAUAACUGGUAAGAAAAUAGGACUAUAAAAAACUUUUAAUUUUCAGUACACUCUCUGUUGCACUUGAUUGCUUUCAGUGUGCUUUCAAGUGAAAAAACAACAGUAUUUGCUAGGGACAGCCAUGCGUCAACUUUCAGAGACUGGAAAGAGCUAAAGUCAUCAGCCUCAGGUUCAGGCAAUAAGGAGCCUGUUCUGAGCAAGGAUGAUCACUUGGUAUUUCUGUGUGGUAUUGUGCUUCAUUGCAAUAGAUAGGAAGUAUAAUAAAUAAGAAUGUAGUAGUAAUUAAAAAUUACUAAAAAUAAAUAUCCAUUUAAUAUUUUUAUAAGUACAUCUUUCUUACAUGUAUUUAAAUAUAAAAUAAAGUUAUAUAGAUGAAUGUCACUUAUAUAAAUAUGUCAAAAUAUAACAAACAAAU
ensembl:lncRNA